GUAGGGAUAUGAGUUUUUGCAUCAUAUGGAGCCAUAUAUCAAUCAGAAUUUUCAAGCACUUUGACACAUUUUGCAGUAAAACUUAUCGCCAAGUUUUCCAACCUUCCUAUUACAGUCCUUACAACUCAGGUAUGGCCACUUUUUGUCAAGGUCUAUGUGUAUUAUGCUCGCAACAACACAGAAGCUCCCUUCCUAUAUUUUAUUAAAAAUAACAUAGUUUAAAAAAUAGUCAUCUGUCAAAAUAUAAAUUAUUAAUGGAAUAGUGUUACUUACAUCCAUGCACUCAAUUAAUUGCUUGAUAGUUUUAGCUUCAAGCGAUCCAGAAGAUAAUAACUCAUCUGAAAUAGAAGAAGAGUUAUUUUGAGAGGAUAUUCGACUAAUCCUCUCGGCUUUACCUCCACGCACAUCUUCCAUUCUGUAUGGGUUGAAGUUUUGUUAAAAUCUAUUUCAUAUAACAAAUUAUUCAAUGUACUAAAAAGAAAUGGAGAGUAUACUACUAUAUAAACCUGGAGAUAAAUUCAGCAACUUCAGGCAGUUGAGGAUUUAUCCAUAAUUUUGAAGCAGUCCAAGAAUUGCGCACAAAAUAGUUUCCUGCAUUUAUGAGUAUAUUUGUUAUCACAUCAUGAAAUUUGUAUUCAAUAUAAAUCUUACAAAUGUAUAGAAAAAACUAGAAACCUUUGAAUUUAUGUGCCAGAUAAAUUCAGCAACUUCAGGCAGUUGAGGAUUUAUCCAUAAUUUUGAAGCAGUCCAAGAAUUGCGCACAAAAUAUUUUCCUGCAUUUAUGAGUAUAUUUGUUAUCACAUCAUGAAAUUUGUAUUCAAUAUAAAUCUUACAAAUGUAUAGAAAAAACUAGAAACCUUUGAAUUUAUGUGCCUGUACCAACUGCAUCACCACAAUUACAGGCUUAUCGAUAGAUCCCUCCAAGUGCGGACGUAUUUGAAGAGCGAACUCACCCCAGAAAGUAGCUUCAAUCAUUUUAUUCCUUCAAUAUAUACAUAUAAUUAUAUAAAAAUUGAACAACUUCAAAUUUAUAAUUAUGUUUGUCGUCUUACUCGUAAUCUUGUAGUUCAACAUUCAUGAACAACGAUUUAUUGCCUUGUUUGUAUUUC